rnacentral:rRNA from 1 species
ACGCUCGACACCUACGGAGGCAGCAGUGGGGAAUAUUGCACAAUGGGGGAAACCCUGAUGCAGCGACGCCGCGUGAAGGAAGAAGUAUCUCGGUAUGUAAACUUCUAUCAGCAGGGAAGAAAGUGACGGUACCUGACUAAGAAGCCCCGGCUAACUACGUGCCAGUAGCCGCGGUAAUCUGAGCGGGCUGGCAAGGC